rnacentral:rRNA from 1 species
UACAGAGGGUGCGAGCGUUAAUCGGAAUUACUGGGCGUAAAGCGUGCGUAGACGGUUGCGUAAGUCAGAUGUGAAAGCCCCGGGCUUAACCUGGGAAUGGCGUUUGGGACUGGAAGGCUGGAGUACGGCAGAGGGAGGUGGAAUUCCACGUGUAGCAGUGAAAUGCGUAGAGAUGUGGAGGAACACCGAUGGCGAAGGCAGCCUCCUGGGCCAGUACUGACGCUCAUGCACGAAAGCGUGGGGAGCGAACAGG